rnacentral:rRNA from 1 species
GUGGGAAAUAUUGGACAAUGGGGGGAACCCUGAUCCAGCCAUGCCGCGUGUGUGAAGAAGGCCUUUUGGUUGUAAAGCACUUUAAGCGAGGAGGAGGCUACCGAGAUUAAUACUCUUGGAUAGUGGACGUUACUCGCAGAAUAAGCACCGGCUAACUCUGUGCCAGCAGCCGCGGUAAUACAGAGGGUGCAAGCGUUAAUCGGAUUUACUGGGCGUAAAGCGCGCGUAGGUGGCCAAUUAAGUCAAAUGUGAAAUCCCCGAGCUUAACUUGGGAAUUGCAGUCGAUACUGGUUGGCUAGAGUAUGGGAGAGGAUGGUAGAAUUCCAGGUGUAGCGGUGAAAUGCGUAGAGAUCUGGAGGAAUACCGAUGGCGAAGGCAGCCAUCUGGCCUAAUACUGACACUGAGGUGCGAAAGCAUGGGGAGCAAACAGGAUUAGAAACCCCAGUAGUCC